GAUGAACGCUGGCGGCGUGCCUAAUACAUGCAAGUCGAGCGAACAGACGAGGAGCUUGCUCCUUUGACGUUAGCGGCGGACGGGUGAGUAACACGUGGGUAACCUACCUAUAAGACUGGGAUAACUUCGGGAAACCGGAGCUAAUACCGGAUAAUAUUUCGAACCGCAUGGUUCGAUAGUGAAAGAUGGCUUUGCUAUCACUUAUAGAUGGACCUGCGCCGUAUUAGCUAGUUGGUAAGGUAACGGCUUACCAAGGCAACGAUACGUAGCCGACCUGAGAGGGUGAUCGGCCACACUGGAACUGAGACACGGUCCAGACUCCUACGGGAGGCAGCAGUAGGGAAUCGUCCGCAAUGGGCGAAAGCCUGACGGAGCAACGCCGCGUGAGUGAUGAAGGUCUUCGGAUCGUAAAACUCUGUUAUUAGGGAAGAACAAACGUGUAAGUAACUGUGCACGUCUUGACGGUACCUAAUCAGAAAGCCACGGCUAACUACGUG
rnacentral:rRNA from 1 species